rnacentral:rRNA from 1 species
AACGAACGCUGGCGGCAUGCCUUACACAUGCAAGUCGAACGGUAACAGGUCUUCGGAUGCUGACGAGUGGCGAACGGGUGAGUAAUACAUCGGAACGUGCCCGAUCGUGGGGGAUAACGAAGCGAAAGCUUUGCUAAUACCGCAUAAGAUCUACGGAUGAAAGCAGGGGACCGCAAGGCCUUGCGCGAACGGAGCGGCCGAUGGCAGAUUAGGUAGUUGGUGGGAUAAAAGCUUACCAAGCCGACGAUCUGUAGCUGGUCUGAGAGGACGACCAGCCACACUGGGACUGAGACACGGCCCAGACUCCUACGGGAGGCAGCAGUGGGGAAUUUUGGACAAUGGGCGCAAGCCUGAUCCAGCCAUGCCGCGUGCAGGAUGAAGGCCUUCGGGUUGUAAACUGCUUUUGUACGGAACGAAAAGACUCUGGUUAAUACCUGGGGUCCAUGACGGUACCGUAAGAAUAAGCACCGGCUAACUACGUGCCAGCAGCCGCCGUAACAC